AAAUUGAAGAGUUUGAUCAUGGCUCAGAUUGAACGCUGGCGGCAGGCCUAACACAUGCAAGUCGAACGGUAACAGGAAGCAGCUUGCUGCUUCGCUGACGAGUGGCGGACGGGUGAGUAAUGUCUGGGAAACUGCCUGAUGGAGGGGGAUAACUACUGGAAACGGUGGCUAAUACCGCAUAACGUCGCAAGACCAAAGAGGGGGACCUUCGGGCCUCUUGCCAUCAGAUGUGCCCAGAUGGGAUUAGCUUGUUGGUGAGGUAACGGCUCACCAAGGCGACGAUCCCUAGCUGGUCUGAGAGGAUGACCAGCCACACUGGAACUGAGACACGGUCCAGACUCCUACGGGAGGCAGCAGUGGGGAAUAUUGCACAAUGGGCGCAAGCCUGAUGCAGCCAUGCCGCGUGUAUGAAGAAGGCCUUCGGGUUGUAAAGUACUUUCAGCGGGGAGGAAGGUGUUGUGGUUAAUAACCACAGCAAUUGACGUUACCCGCAGAAGAAGCACCGGCUAACUCCGUGCCAGCAGCCGCGGUAAUACGGAGGGUGCAAGCGUUAAUCGGAAUUACUGGGCGUAAAGCGCACGCAGGCGGUCUGUCAAGUCGGAUGUGAAAUCCCCGGGCUCAACCUGGGAACUGCAUUCGAAACUGGCAGGCUUGAGUCUUGUAGAGGGGGGUAGAAUUCCAGGUGUAGCGGUGAAAUGCGUAGAGAUCUGGAGGAAUACCGGUGGCGAAGGCGGCCCCCUGGACAAAGACUGACGCUCAGGUGCGAAAGCGUGGGGAGCAAACAGGAUUAGAUACCCUGGUAGUCCACGCCGUAAACGAUGUCUACUUGGAGGUUGUGCCCUUGAGGCGUGGCUUCCGGAGCUAACGCGUUAAGUAGACCGCCUGGGGAGUACGGCCGCAAGGUUAAAACUCAAAUGAAUUGACGGGGGCCCGCACAAGCGGUGGAGCAUGUGGUUUAAUUCGAUGCAACGCGAAGAACCUUACCUGGUCUUGACAUCCACGGAAGGUCUCAGAGAUGAGACUGUGCCUUCGGGAACCGUGAGACAGGUGCUGCAUGGCUGUCGUCAGCUCGUGUUGUGAAAUGUUGGGUUAAGUCCCGCAACGAGCGCAACCCUUAUCCUUUGUUGCCAGCGGUCCGGCCGGGAACUCAAAGGAGACUGCCAGUGAUAAACUGGAGGAAGGUGGGGAUGACGUCAAGUCAUCAUGGCCCUUACGACCAGGGCUACACACGUGCUACAAUGGCGCAUACAAAGAGAAGCGACCUCGCGAGAGCAAGCGGACCUCAUAAAGUGCGUCGUAGUCCGGAUUGGAGUCUGCAACUCGACUCCAUGAAGUCGGAAUCGCUAGUAAUCGUGGAUCAGAAUGCCACGGUGAAUACGUUCCCGGGCCUUGUACACACCGCCCGUCACACCAUGGGAGUGGGUUGCAAAAGAAGUAGGUAGCUUAACCUUCGGGAGGGCGCUUACCACUUUGUGAUUCAUGACUGGGGUGAAGUCGUAACAAGGUAACCGUAGGGGAACCUGCGGUUGGAUCACCUCCUUA
rnacentral:rRNA from 1 species